rnacentral:SRP_RNA from 1 species
GAGUUCCGCGCUCUGCCGAUGGUCGAGGCGCGCUCAGUGAUCCGAGAGCUGCUGAUGCACAUCGGUGCACGCAGCAUGCCUCCGGCCAGCAAGUCAAUGCGCUCCGUGGUUGAAGACCUCCGCGAGAACUACAAGGAGUUUAGUCCGCGCAC